UGGGUUGUCGAUAUUCGCAGG
rnacentral:piRNA from 1 species